rnacentral:lncRNA from 1 species
UGACAAUGAUGGUGAGCUCCGAUUUUUGGAAACGCUCAAGGUUAAGCCACCUGGGGUUACAAUUGGGGGAAAUUCUGCAUCUGAAAAGGCUUCUGAUGACAUGGAUGCGGAGGAACUUGAUCCAGUGCCUGAUGGAAUAGAGAUUGGCAACGAGAUUAAGAGGGAAUCGACUAUGACUAGUCGCCAGCGAGCCCUUGCUUCUGCAUCUGGCAAAUCAACCCCAGUUGAAUUUCAAGAUGGAUUACCUCCUACAUCGAGAAGUAUGCUUCUUUUUUCUUUGGCUUUUAGAUUCACGAGUAUGCAUCUUUUUUGCAAUAAAGGUUGGUAAUGUAUUGUGAUGAAAAUUUCUGUUGAAAAAUAGGGAAAAGAGAGAAUCUUUCAGAGAUGGAGCAGCAAGUGAAGAAGGCUGAAGCUGCUCAAAGGCGAAAAGUGCAGGUUGAGAAGGCUGCAAGGGAGUCUGAGGUUGGUGUUUUACUCUCUCUCUCUCUCUCUCUCUCUCUCUCUAUGGUGAUAUACAGAUUUAAAAUGUAUCGAAAUCCAUGUGAGGGAUGAUGGUCUUGAUUUUGUGUCUACAGGCAGAGGCGAUCAGAAAAAUUCUAGGCCAAGAUUCGAGCAGGAAGAAGCGUGAAGACAAGAUUAAAAAGCGACUUGAUGAAAUUGCUCAGGUAUUGGGAAAUGCACGACUAUGCUGUUGAUGCGUUAUAUAUUUGAGUAAAACUGAGAUGCUGAAUGUUUGGUUGUCAUAUAUGCUAUGAAUUGAUGAUAACAGGAGAAAGCUGCGCAUGAGGAAAGGGUCUCUACAAGCUACAUCAGAACAAUAAUGGGUCCUAAUGGAACCACUGUUUCAUUUCCCAUUGACAAAGUGCCUAGCCUGUUCGAUCCUAAACCAUCCGGGUAUGGUGUUUCCUCUGUUCUUUCUCACAAACUCAAAUCAGACUAGUUCAUGAGUCAAUGUCCCUAAUUUCAUAACUGAUUUGAUCUGAUCAAUGUGAACACCUAUACAUGAUUCAAAUGUUUUUUUGGUAUGGAGGAAGGCUCUAGAGUUCGGCUUCUUUUGUUCUUUGGAUUCUGUUUUGUAUUCUAACGUUUCAUAAAAACAUAACGAGUAGUUCAAACCUUUGUGAUAACAAUGUAAAGCAUUUUGUGUAUCUGCAGUUAUCCUCCACCGCGAGAAAACUGCGCGGGUCCAUCGUGCACCAAUCCGUACAGGUAUCGUGAUUCAAAGACUAAGGUUCCUCUGUGCAGCCUCCAAUGCUACAAGGCGGUUCAGGAGCAGCAGCAGCAGCAGCAGCAGACCUCUGAACCAGCAACCGACCCCACCCCACCACCGGAGCAGACCUCUGAACCAGCAACCGACCCCACCCCACCACCGGUUUAGAUAGUGAUUGUUUUUUUUUCUGGAUAUAAAAGGACAAGAACUUAGAGCGUUAUCAUUGUUGCAGUGAGGAGCUUCUUAGCUUCCUCAUUUUAUUACAUGCAGACUACAUGAUUCAGUAUAUUUUACUUUACUUCAGACUUAUCUGAUCGGAGAGUUCAGUUUUCUUUUGUGGCCGUCCAUUUAUUUUUUACCAAACCAUUGCCGCUCAUAUAAUUUUAUUCUCCAACGGCUAUCUCAGUUCUUUAAUAAUAAAAUACAUGAUACAAUGUGCUCUCUAUUAUUAGAAGCAAUCUUCAUGGUCAUGUAGUUUACAGUGCAUCGUGAUUCUUAGCUUUGUUUACGUCUCUAAUGAUCAUAACUUCCGUUUUCUUAAAAUUAUCUCUUUUUUUGUUAAAGAAAUGGUUAAAUCCAGUUCUAUUAAAAAACACCUAACUUUCGAGUGAGAAAAUUAUCUUUCUCCCAUAAGAAUCCAUACAUAACACAUAAAUACAAAUACAAUAGUGUUCAAAAUAGUGUUCUAGGCUGCUGCUUAAAUGAUGUCUAGGCACUUGGCUCAAAAAUACUGGAGUCCAUUUUUUGUCUCAAUACUGUGAAAAUUACUUUAUUUUCUGCCACAAUAAUUAUAUACUUUAUUUUCUCAAUUUUACAAUUGAUUUAGAAGAUUUGCGUAGUUUCAAAAUAUAUGAUGUCUAAACGUACGGGUAUCUUUUUCAUUUUAUAAAAAAACGUUUCAAAUAUAUGAUAUAAAUUUUAGUAUUAUAAAUUGUAUAACUCUCUAUAAUCUUAUUUUAUAAGUUUUUAUUCAAUAUUAUUAAUAUGUAAAGAUCUGUUUUAUAUAUUUUACUUUGUUACUAAUUGUUAUUACAUACUAAUAUAUUGUUGAGUCAUGUACAAUAAAUUCAUAAUAUGAAAUAAAAAUAUUUGUAAAAAUAUGGUUAUUAAUUUCUAAAAUUUGCAUACAAUACAUUUUUAAGGUUUAUUUAUAUAUACUAUAGAAAUGGUAUUUGUUUAAGAUAAUUUAGAUCUUCAUAGUUUAUAUUUUCAUGUUGUGUUUAAAAAAUAUACUUAAACAUCUAUCAUUUUAGUAUAGUUAGAGAUUUCAUAAGUAAAUGCAUUGUUCUAUUGUUGACAAAAAAAAAUACAUUGUUCUAUUUUUCUGUUUAAAUAAUUUAGCCCUAUUAUUUUAGAAAAUUUUAUAAUAAAUUUAAGAAAUUUUUGAUAAGAUUUUUCUCAACGGAUUCUGUUAUAGUUAAAAAUAAACAUUAAGUUUAUACUUAAAAUUUAUUUGUCAUUAAUAUCUUUAAUGAAUUAUUAAAAUUAAUUUUUUUCUAAUAGCAUACUUUGUAAAUAACACAUGAAAAAUGUUAGUUAUAAACUAUUAUAUUUUGUAUAUAAUUAUUUCUAGGUAGCAAUUGUUAUGAGUCUGUUUUCGUUUGAUUACAAAAAAAACAUAUUGUUGUGAGUUUCAAAAUAAAUAAAAUAAUAAUAUAUAUAAAAAAUUAACAUAUGUUAAUUAUUUUAUUUAUUGUAUAAAAAUAUUACAUAGGUUAUAAAUUUUAAUAUAUAUUGGAUUUUUCGUAUUUUUAAUAAAUAGAAUAUCAACAUAAAUCAAGUUUUGCCAUAUUAUUUAAUUAAUGUAAGUGACAAAAUCGAUACACGUUAAUUAAAUAUAGUCAUAUAGUAUUAAAUUUAUGAAAAAGGUCAUUAGCAGAUGAUUUGUAUGACUAUUAUUACGUGGCCAUUUGAAAAUUGUAAGUGAUUAGUGAAUAUUUAUUAUAUAAUUUAUUAAAUAGAUUGUUUGGAAUCAAGAUUGGGGAGAUCUUAAUAACUUAAUUUUAAUUUCUAUUUAUUUAUAUCCUUAAUUUUUCUGGUCUAACAUUUAAUUAAGAAAAUAACUUUAAUGAAUUAAUUUCGGCAAUAAGCGUUUACACUCUAGUUCUUGGUCUGACCACCAAGAUCACAGCCUCAGAUCCCAACAGCUCGAUUCCCUUUUCUCCACAUGUCACCAUGGCGUGGCUCACGCUCGAGUUCCAACGGUUUAAUCAUCGGAAGUGAACGAAACUUCUUGAGCAGGCUAGUGUUUUUCUGUGGUCUUCACGAGGUAAUGCUUCUGUGGUGUAGGGUGAUCGUGAGACCAGUGGUGGACAGCACGUUGAUUGGAGGAGACGCCGGUCACCACCGGAGAGAAGAGACGGUGGUGGAUAGAGUGGCUUUGGCCGUGAGCUGUGGGACGUUGUGGUGGUGGAAGCUUCGGGAUGAAAUAGAGGCUUUAGUUGGUGUGGCAGAGGCUAAAAGAGCAUUGUUGUUAUUAUUACCAACCGAUGGUAAUGCUAACGUUAGUUUGGAUGUGGGAACGGUUGAUUUUGUGAAUUGGUGGUUAUACUAUAUGGUUGUGAUGAUUGGUAUGGUUAGGAUCGUUAAAGGGUCUUUGUGGUUCGGAAUGAUUUUGCUUUUCGAACAAGGUAGUAGAAGAAAUCCACGUGGAAAUGCCAGUGCUACUCAUGUUUCUACAACUUCUUCUGUUCAUUAUGACGAUGAAGGUGACACUAAAGUGUAAUAAGUAACAAUUGGUUAUAGGGUCACAAGUGGGGAAUGCAAUUUUUUUGUGUGUGUUUUGGAUCCAAGUUCUUACACCUAAUAUACGAAGGUUCAAGUUGAUAUUUGUAAUGAGAAAGAUGUUAACAAGUUCAUUACUGGAAUGAAAUUUGAUAGAAUCAUAAAAAAAAACAUUAGCACCAGCAAUAGGGCUGGGAUCAUGUAUUGGGGUUGGUUUCGGGGAAUGUUACAAAAAAAAAAAAAAAAAAAAAGGCAGACAUAGAAUGUUAGUGUCUGUCUAUCAGUUAGGUUAGGCCGACCAAACUUGUUACUCACCCCCUUGUUAGGCCUCAAGGGAAAACGAAAAACUCAAGUUAAUAAUAAAUAGACCGGGCUAAGAAGUGAGCCCAGUGAGUCGGGUGGGAAAAUAUUAUAAUAUCCACUAGAGUAGAGUAGACCAUUUUUAAUUCAGUUCAGCUUAUUUGUUCGCGUUGUUCGUCUCCUCCUUCUCCGCACCACAUCCGACUUGGUAAAUCCCCAAAUCCAUCAUUCUUGAUCUCUCUGUUUAUUGCUUUUGAUUUCUUGUUUUAUGCCGAUCCUUCUUCUAGAACAAGUACUGAUGAGAUUUCUUAAUUAGUUGAUUCGGAUUUCGAUUCCUAGCCGAUGUGCUUCAAAGAUGUAAUUUUGGAUCGCUUCAUUGAUAUUGAAACAAAGUCUUUGAUUAGCUAAUCACCGAUUGCCUCAAGAAGUAAGAUCCAUAGGCUAUUAUUGUCCAUUGAUCCAAGUGUUCAUCAUUGAUAUGUCCAUUAAGAAAGAACUGUUGUGAACUUGUGAUAAAAAUGAGAGUCUACCUUUGUUUUAUAUGAAUUUGGUCAUGCAUUAUAUUUCUAGCUUUUUGGUGAUGAUUGAUUGUAUACUUUUCAUGUUUGAUUCGUGGUGUAAUAGUAUGUUUGUAUAUAUAGUCAAUAGUACAUUUAUUGUUUGAUCCCAUCUAAUAUCCAUUUUUCUAUAUGCGAGUUGUUUGUUGUGAAUCACAUUUCCAGCUUUGGUGUAUUGAAAAUUGUAGGAAGUACUGAUUCAUGUUUGAUCUUUUCUUUUGGGUUGUACUGUAUCAGUUUGAUAGGCUGAGAAAUCAAAGAGAUGGCAGGACACAGGGUUGCACAUGCCACACUUAAAGGGCCUAGCGUUGUGAAGGAGUUAAUCAUCGGUAUGGCACUCGGUUUAGCUGCUGGUGGUCUUUGGAAGAUGCACCAUUGGAAUGAACAGAGGAAAACCAGAGCCUUCUACGACUUGCUUGAGAGAGGUGAGAUCAGUGUUAUUGCCGCCGAAGAGUAAUAAAAGCUCUGCUCACAGACUCAUUCUUCAAAGACUGAUGGAUGAUUUCGAAUUCUAUUUUUUUUGUUUCUGUUUAUAAUAACUCUGAGAUGAGUUUGGAUUUUGUGAGAAAUAAACAAAUCUGAGAAUGAGAUUUGGUAGAUCAUAAACUGAUUUUAGUGUGAUGGUCGAUUCAGACAAGCUUCCUUGUUUUGUUUUGUUUUGUUUAAAAAGUUAGUAUUAUUUUAUGGAACCUUAUUCAUGGAAUUUGUGCAUUUGACAAUGUUUCCAACUCAUGAUAUUAUUUGGAAUCAGAAUCUUUGAAAGGAAAAUAUAGCUUGUGUUGCAUCUGUGAUCUGCCAUUGCUUUGUCUCCUGUUUCUUCAAGAGACUGAAAAAGCAUAACCAGGAUAGAUAUCUGAAUGUCUUUACGGCUGAGUUUUGUAAAAAAUAAAAAUUAAUACCUAAAAUAUAAAGUGUUGUGGAAUAAAUAUCUGAAUACACAUGGUGCAAUACGCUUGGUUGCUAGGAGAUAAGAAAAUCGUGAUCACAGAGUUCUGUAUUUAUCUUCUUCUCCUCCCUACAUCAAAAAAAUUAUCUCCUCCUCCCAUCAAAACUCUCCAAAGAUGACAACAGUAGCCGCAACAGGUAUCAACGUCGCGACUCCACGACUGGUCAUUCGACCAGCGGCUCGUCUAUACGCCCCGGUCCGUUUGAAUUACCCGUGGAAAUUCGGUUCGAUGAACCGGAUGGUUACGUCGGUGAAGGCGACAUCGGAAGGAGGGAUGAUAUCGGAUAAGGUGGAGAAGAGUAUUCAGGAAGCGAAGGAGACUUGCGCUGACGAUCCUGUGAGCGGAGAGUGUGUGGCGGCGUGGGACGAGGUGGAGGAGCUGAGCGCCGCGGCGAGUCACGCUAGGGACAAGAAGAAAGCUGGUGGAUCCGAUCCUUUGGAAGAAUACUGCAGUGAUAAUCCUGAGACUGAUGAGUGUCGUACUUAUGACAACUGAAAAUGUUUUUUCUAUCUUGUUGCUGUCGUCUGUGUUUGGUUUGGUUCGUAUGGUGCUUUUCUUUUUGUUUGGUUUUCGUAAGUUGUAAUGUGAUAAUGAAUAUGAUGAAUAUUACAACUACAAUACUCAUCAGGUGUUUCAUUAAUUCGCUGUGUUUCGUGAGGUGUACUAUAGUUUGAUGCCUGAAAAUGUUUUUGAUGUCUGAAAAUUUAGGUACCGGUUACGCGAAGAUGUUUAUUUUACUCGCAGCUAAAUUUUGUUUUUUUUUUUAACUUAUUCCACUGAUGCUAAACAUUUUCAAACAAAAUAAAAUAAAAGUAAUUAGCUUAAAUUAAGAUUCAAACGAAUAAAAUAAAAAAUGACCCGC